AGGCAUACACACCUCUUUAAAAUUCCGUUGAAUUCAAUACAAAGUUGAGCAGAGGGACUUUCUCAAAAUAUGGUAGACUCAUCUAUUUAUUAUUGUCCACCAUCUUUCUGGAAACAAAACAUUAUUGUGUUAUUAAUCAAACAAAGUAAAUAUUGAACGAAAAAUUCAUUUGUGAAAGAUUUAAAUCAGCAGUUUAAUUUGGUUGGAUUUGGAACAGUUCUCUUCAUGGAAUAUCGAAGCGAGCUGGGUAAUUGUUUCAUCAUAUACUUAUAUUUUAGAAAUUGUGGGAGUAUGAAAGAAAAUAAAAAACUUACAUGCAAAAAAAAAAAAUACCACACUGCAAAUGGUAAAUGACUUCGGCCGUGAGAUACGUUCAUGAUACGACUACUACAAUGUGUCUUAUCUUCAAUCUUUCUGCAAACGGAUAAAACUAAAUAUUAUAAAUCAAGUAAAUCAACAAAAAUAUAUUUAUUCUGCUAAAAUUUCAGUGAAUGGAAUUUUUCAUUUAUUAAAUAAAUGAUGGGGAAUCCGUUAACAAAUCAUCAUACUAUCAAUGAACUUUCAGACGUUUUUUAUCCAGGGUAAUCAGAAGCAGAUAUAUUACAAUGCUCAAGAAUACACACCUCUUUAAAAUUCCGUUAAAUUCAAUACACCUGAGUUGAGCAGAGGGACUUUCUCAAGAUAUGGUAGACUCAUCUAUUUAUUGUCCACCAUCUUUCUGGAAACAAAACAGUAUUGUGUUAUUAAUCAAACAAAAUAAAUAUUGAACGAAAAAUUCAUUUGUGAAAGCAUUAAAUCAGCAGUUUAAUUUGGUUGGAUUUGGAACAGUUCUCUUCAUGGAAUAUCGAAGCGAGCUGGGUAGUAAACGACUUCGGCAUGGAACACUUAUUUAGGCACUAAAUGGGAUAACAAAUAUAAUCAAAAUAUUAAAGCCAUUGGUUAAAGCAUACGUCAUAAAAAAUAUUAUAAUAUGCAGCACAUUCUUUUUAAAUUAGAAAAGUACAAAAUUGAUCAAAAUUUUGAGUACGAAGUUUUAUUUGUAGUGCAAUGUUACGCAAUUCAAGCAAAAAAUAAUAACAAAUUUCGACUAGGUGUGAAAAUAAAAUUAACUGGAUGUAAUCUUA